GGAGAAUCCACCCUUGCCCCCACCCCCUUCAUUAAUAUGUAUGUGUUCUGAACGGUGCGUGGUUGCUGAUUAAUGCUGUCUGUCAAUUUCUUACAGAUCCGACAGUGCUGUGGAAGUUCCCUCAGGACUUUGGAGACCAGCUACUC
rnacentral:lncRNA from 1 species